rnacentral:rRNA from 1 species
UACGUAGGGUGCAAGCGUUGUCCGGAAUUAUUGGGCGUAAAGAGCUCGUAGGCGGUUCGUCGCGUCGGCUGUGAAAACCUGAGGCUCAACCUCAGGCCUGCAGUCGAUACGGGCGGACUUGAGUACUGCAGGGGGAGACUGGAAUUCCUGGUGUAGCGGUGAAAUGCGCAGAUAUCAGGAGGAACACCGGUGGCGAAGGCGGCUCUCUGGGCAUUACCUGACGCUGAGGAGCGAAAGUGUGGGGAGCGAACAGG